GACUACCCUCUACCUUCCACCAUGGCUACAGGGAUGGGCCUGUGCUUUCCCCAUGAGAACUGGAGAAUUCCUCUGACAGAAGAUCUCUAGAUAAACACAGGAGAAGCAAAGACCAGCCUAAGAUUUGCCGAAGACAACAUUGAAGACAGAGCUGUCCUGAAGGGGAAAACUUGAAAAAGACACGAAACGAGGCAGCAAUGCAGCAGGGGAGGAGAGAAGGAGAUUCUGCCCAACAGAUUGUAGGCUUCCCUUCCACUGUUUGCCUAGGCAUCAAGCAGUAAACUUCUCCCGUGGAACUGUGCUGGCCUGGUGUGAUCUGUCUGAUGAGCCGCCAUUCUACCUCAACAGAAAGCCUUUAGGCUGCUGUGAAACCCGGGCCCCUCUUCACUUUGUUUGCUCCCUGGCUCAUGAUGACAUAAGAGAUUUUGUUCUACCACGCCCUCUCUUGCCAGACAUUCCCUCCUUUCUUCACAUACUCCCUUGUCAAGGGCUCAAAAAUGAUGAAGCCACCCCACUAAGGCAUUAAAAACUCCAAAAACAUAAGCCAAAAUAAAUCUUUUCCCUUCC